ACAUGGUGUGCAUUACAGAGGGCAAAGAUUAUGACUGGCAUUAUACUAUUAAUUCUGUUUUUACCUGCUGGCUUCAGUGUAAGACAGUCUCCUGAUCUUUCUGCUUAUGAGGGUCAGAAUGUGACUCUUCAGUGUACUCAGAUUGAUACCACCUUUAAUGGCAUGUACUGGUUCAGAAAGAGACCUGAAUCCCUGGAGCCCAUUGUAUUCUACUAUAUUAACGUAGGCACAAUUGAAGAUAAAUUUAAGCAGAAAGUUUCUGCAAUAAAGAAAGGCAAUUCUCUGGAUCUAACUGUGAAGGAGCUGAAGAGCACAGACAGUGCCGUCUACUUCUGUGCAAAACAGGAUGCACAGCAUGACAACCUAAUCUUUAACCUGAACAAGAACUGCACCACUGCCACAACAAACACAUACUCAACACCUGUUAACUGUAGCACACAAACCAAGUACUCAUGACCAAAAUACACAAGAGACAGAUAUAUCGAUGGGUGGUGAAGUCACUUCCUGUCAUCUGGAUUUUAUAAGCAAGUGUUGGUAUGCUGUCUAUCAAUGAUUGGAAACAAAUCAGCAUAAUGAUUCUGCUCUUUUUAUCU